AUUGAACGCUGGCGGCAGGCCUAACACAUGCAAGUCGAACGAGUGGCGGACGGGUGAGUAAUGUCUGGGAAACUGCCCGAUGGAGGGGGAUAACUACUGGAAACGGUAGCUAAUACCGCAUACCAUCGGAUGUGCCCAGAUGGGAUGAGCUAGUAGGUGGGGUAACGGCUCACCUAGGCGACGAUCCCUAGCUGGUCUGAGAGGAUGACCUGCCACACUGGAACUGCGACACGGCCCGGAUUCUGAGGGCGGGCGACAGUGGGGAAUAUUGCAUAAUGGGCGCAAGCCUGAGGCAGCCAGGCCGCGUGUAUGAAGAAGGCCUUCGGGUUGGAAAGUACUUUCAGCGAGGAGGCGUUACUCGAAGAAGAAGCACCUGCUAACUCCGUGCCAGCAGCCGCGGUAAUAC
rnacentral:rRNA from 1 species